rnacentral:lncRNA from 1 species
UCCCUGGGAAACUCCUGCUCACCUUACUGGUAGGAACUGGGUUUUGGUCUGCCCUUCAAAACAACUCUGCUUCUGGCUUUCCUGCCUUCCCUUGGUGUCCUCUGCAGCCGCAAUAUUUAAAUUCAAUUUAUUGUAUGUUCUCAAGUUUGAAAUACUAAGGAAAGGGGAGGUGGGAGGAGAGAGGAAACCAUAUGUCAAGAAGACUGAAUCAAAGUGAAAGUGGUGUGUAUGCACAUUGGAGGAGGCUAAGUUUGGCCUGAUGUUUUCUAUUUUGACUAUUGGAAAAUUUCGGUGAGAUGUGGGCUUGGUGUGACAUCUGUUUAGCUUUGGGGAGCAUGUACAUGUCUGUGUGUGUGUGCGUGUGUGUGGCAGAGACUGAUGUCUUUCUUUGUAUGAAGCUGCACAGUAUCAUAUGGUGAUAUAAAACAUGAACACCCACUUAGAAAAUUCAUGCAGAGUCUGCUGGAGUAUUUCAUCUCGCUUUGUUCUGGUGGGUUUAACUCAUGGGGUACAUGCACAAAGUCUUUUUCACAGUCAAUAUAGUGUCUAGGAAAGCUCUACAUUGGUGAUGUCUUGUGAACCAAAGGCCCAAAACUGUGAUUUUUUUAAAGCUUCUUUAUGAUGAACCCAUCCUAACACAUUCAUCCAGGCUCUGAACAAAUAUUACAGCUGGUGUCAAUGGAUGGUGCUCUAUCUCAUGUAGCUUCCUACCCCAGUCUGCUAAGGUACCAAAAGCCACUAUGUGCGUGACUGGCAGAGGCACUGCUGUCUUACAGCUCCCCAUUUGAGUCACCCCUGGAAAUCAGGCCACAGGUUUUCUCUUCUCCUGAUGAGAAAUGAGACAACCAACCAAGGAGUUCGUUUUUGGUUUUUGCUACUUUCUCUAUAGUAACAGUCCCAAUAUUUGUUUAUAAAAUAAGGGGAUGGGGGAUAGCAAGCCUGUUUAAGCAGAAUUUAUAGAAAGUUGUGUACAGCUCUGCUAAAAACAGAGCCCAAUACUUCCAGGGUAAAGUGCCUGCAAACCAGCUUUUCCACCACUGCUGGCAAUAAUUAGCCAUUCAGACUGCACUAAAAGCUGCCUGAAGGCGAAGAGACAUCACUAGUUUGGGGAGUUGCUUUAAAAAAAAAAAAAAAAUAAUCAAUAUUUCUUUGCUGCUGUUUGCUUUAAUUUCAUUUCACUUUCUGUGGUGUCUCUGUACAAUCUGAAAAUUUGUGGUGCCCAAAAACAGCAUCCAACGUUAGUCAGUUUUUCAGGCAAUAAACCACUUGACAUUAGCGUAGAUUCUAUUUUUGUGUAAAAUCCCAAACAUCUGUUCCACAGGAGAUGGGUUUGCUACCAAGCACUACUGUUAGAUUUCUCGCCAACAAGUUUCAUUGCUUCAUGUGGUUUGUGUUUUGUUCUUUAAACAGUUAAUUAUGUUUUAUUCUUUCUUCCAUAAAAGCUAAAUU